rnacentral:misc_RNA from 1 species
GAUGAAGAACGCAGCAAACUACGUUAAUCAGUGUAAACUGCACAAUAGCAGAACACUUGAACUUCGAACGCACAUUGCGACUAAAGGGUAACUCCUUUAGCCUUAUCUGCGUGAGGGCUGUAUAGCGAUACUCAACUCAUGUUUAGGGAGUGAUCACUUUACCGUGAGACUCCGCAACGUGAACCUCGCUAGUGGUCUCUGACUGCUGACGUCUCAGGCAGGCAAGACCACGGGUUAGCGAGACACUUACACGAGAGUGUGUUAACAACAGCCUCACGUCAGGUAAGAUCACCCGCUGAACUUAAGCAUAUCAAUAAGCGGAGGA